AGGGAGAGUGUUGAUCUUAAAUUGCACAAAUAUCUCAAAUUGUUAAUCACAUCUGAAUUUCUCCAUUAAAAUGUUAGAGUACUGGUUCUUUUGUUGUGAGAAAGGAUGUGCAAUUGGCAGUAAGAUCAAAGAACUUGGAUGUUCAUUACAAAUCAAUUGCACCUUCAGGUUCUAGAACAAUCUCCAUGAAUUGGAUUAUUUUAUUUUAUAUUAAUUUUUUUCUUUCUUGCUUUGACAGGCACUACACAGUGACU
rnacentral:lncRNA from 1 species